UUUAAAUUGAGAGUUUGAUCCUGGCUCAGGACGAACGCUGGCGGCGUGCCUAACACAUGCAAGUCGAGCGAUGAAACUUCCUUCGGGAAGUGGAUUAGCGGCGGACGGGUGAGUAACACGUGGGUAACCUGCCUCAAAGAGUGGGAUAGCCUCCCGAAAGGGAGAUUAAUACCGCAUAACAUUAUUUUAUGGCAUCAUAAAAUAAUCAAAGGAGCAAUCCGCUUUGAGAUGGACCCGCGGCGCAUUAGCUAGUUGGUGAGGUAACGGCUCACCAAGGCAACGAUGCGUAGCCGACCUGAGAGGGUGAUCGGCCACAUUGGAACUGAGACACGGUCCAGACUCCUACGGGAGGCAGCAGUGGGGAAUAUUGCGCAAUGGGGGAAACCCUGACGCAGCAACGCCGCGUGAGUGAUGAAGGUUUUCGGAUCGUAAAACUCUGUCUUUAGGGACGAUAAUGACGGUACCUAAGGAGGAAGCCACGGCUAACUACGUGCCAGCAGCCGCGGUAAUACGUAGGUGGCAAGCGUUGUCCGGAUUUACUGGGCG
rnacentral:rRNA from 1 species